AAAAGAAACCAACAGGGAUUGCCCCAGUAACGGCGAGUGAAGCGGCAACAGCUCAAAUUUGAAAUCUGGCCCUUUCAGGGUCCGAGUUGUAAUUUGCAGAGGGUGCUUUGGCGUUGGUCGUGGUCUAAGUUCCUUGGAACAGGACGUCGCAGAGGGUGAGAAUCCCGUACGUGGCCGCCGACCUUCGCCGUGUAAAGCCCCUUCGACGAGUCGAGUUGUUUGGGAAUGCAGCUCUAAAUGGGAGGUAAAUUCCUUCUAAAGCUAAAUAUCUGCCAGAGACCGAUAGCGCACAAGUAGAGUGAUCGAAAGAUGAAAAGCACUUUGGAAAGAGAGUCAAAAAGCACGUGAAAUUGUUGAAAGGGAAGCGCUUGCAGUUAGACAUGCCUUUAGUUGCUCAGCCGGGCUUCUGCCCGGUGCACUCUUCUAUCGGCAGGCCAGCAUCAGUUUGGGCGGUUGGAUAAAGGUCUAUUAAACGUGACUCCCCUCGGGGAGAGCUUAUAGGGUAGACGCCAUGCAACCAGCCCGAACUGAGGUCCGCGCAUCUGCUAGGAUGCUGGCGUAAUAGCUGUAAGCGGCCCGUCUUGAAACACGGACCAAGGAGUCUAACAUCUAUGCGAGUGUUUGGGUGUAAAGCCCGGACGCGCAAUGAAAGUAAACGGAGGUGGGAUCCCUUACGGGUGCACCAUCGACCGAUCCUGAUGUAUUCGGAUGGAUUUGAGUAAGAGCAUAGCUGUUGGGACCCGAAAGAUGGUGAACUAUGCCUGAAUAGGGUGAAGCCAGAGGAAACUCUGGUGGAGGCUCGCAGCGGUUCUGACGUGCAAAUCGAUCGUCAAAUUUGGGCAUAGGGGCGAAAGACUAAUCGAACUAUCUA
rnacentral:rRNA from 1 species